GACACAGGGAGCACCCUGCGUGGUCUGGGUGGGCCCAGGGUCGUCACAGGGAUGCUGAUAAGAAAGACGCAGGUCAGAGUGAGAAUGAGAGGUGGUGGGGGAAGCAGAGGUUGGAGCAAUGCAAGAGGGGGCCCCGAGUCAAGGUUGGGGCAGCCUCUGAAAUCCGGAGAAGGCAAGCAAGUGGAGCCUCCCCUGGGGCCUCCAGGAGGAAGGUGGCUCUGACGACACCUUGACUUUAGCUCAGUGGGGCCUAUAAGACGCAGCAGUCCUGGUACCCACUCCAUCGAGCUGUUGUGACAUUUAAAUGACAUGUAUCUGAAGCACUUAAAGAGGAAGUCAAAUAAACGGUAGAUGGCUUUACCAUGUGUUUUAAAAACUCAUAUUAUCAGAGAUCCUCCUGAGUCCAUUGUCCCAGAAGCCUUUGGGGACCCACAGACGUGUGACUGAAGUCCUGCAUCCCAGCCCCCACAGCCCUGAUCCUGAAGGGCAUUGCAAGGGCUGCGUCACUCACUCUGGUAACGUGACAAUGGCAACUGAAAAAUGUCACCAAGCCGUGUGGCUGUGACGCAGGCGAGAAGGACCCGGAAGAUGCCGUUAAGAAAACGCUGGGUGGUUGCCAAGAUAUGGCAUAACUGAUGACUUCAUUCCACAACUUCCUGGUCACGCAUGGUGAUCCCUUCUGCCAUUCUGACGGCUUUGCUUUGCACCUGAGAGACUGAAGACUCAAAGGGGCCAGGGCCAGACACGACAUAGAAAGGAGAACUCUGGCCCCCACCCACAGCGCCCAGCUUAGGAGCCCGCCCGUCACCUACAGCCGCCAGCCCAAGAAGACAGCCUAUACCCAGACUGCCGGACGUCAGACCUCGUCUCCGGUAACCAACCAAGAUGCCAAGCGAUAACCUCUGAAGCAGUCAGCCCCAAAUGUCCAGGAUUGGGCGCACAGGCUGCCACUUCCGGCUGGCUCUCCUUUAACUUCCGGGUCGGCAGCCUCCAGUUGCGGCAGCGCCUCCUUUUCUCCACUGGAGAGCCUUCCCAUUCACGCUGAGCUGCUCUCUUGUGUCCGACUCUGUGCAAGCCCAGGCACUCUAGCCCGCCAGGCUCCUCUGCCCGUGGGAUUCUCCAGGCAAGAAUGCUGGCUGCCAUCUCCUCCUCCGGCGCAUCUUCCCGACCCAGGGAUUGAACCCACAUCUCCGUGUCUCUUGACUUGGCCGGUGUAUUCAUCACUGCACCACCCGGGAAGCCUUCCCACGAGUCUCUGCCAGAGGCAAGUGAGGGUGACUGGCUCCCUCGCUGUAUAUAGCAAGCUCUGAACAAACA